GGUGUGACAUAACAGCAGGACUAUGAUGGACACAGAUGACCAGUGGACACGGGCUUUGGCCAGCAACAACGUUAGGGCCAUCCUCCGCUGGCUACACAGCCUCUUAGCUGAAGUGGGAGAUGCUGAUGUGGAGGACAGCCUCCCUUCUUUUAGCAGCUGGGUCCAGAGGACGGCUGAACUUUCAAAGGAGUUACUCACCCAAAGUUUCAGCAGCUGCCAGGGCCUGUGGAUGUUCCUGGACCACAGCUGCUGACCCUGGCCCAGUGGGGGAGGAGGCAUGGUUUGGGGAUUCCAUGUGUCUGCAGGGUCGACUGUGGCUCCUCAGCAGUAAGGCAGGACUGCUGGAAUCGGGAACGCAGAGCUCUGAAGCAACACAUCUGGCUGGGUCGGCUGGUACAGUGGUGGGGCAUCACCGGACUCCUGCCCAAGUACCCUGA
rnacentral:lncRNA from 1 species